UCCGUAUUAUGGCUUGCUGAUUGGUUGCGUAGCAACGUUUUUCUAACACCAAAACAACUCCGCCAUAGUGUAUUUCAAAAGGUAAAAUGCACCAAACUAAAACCAACCAACACUAGUUUACAUUGUCUAGAACCAGAGUGGUGCGAAGGCCUGCCGGGAACCUUUGAGCAAACAUGGACCUGGAUAUCCGUCAGCAUCUUAUCGAAGCACAGCAGAACCGAGACCCCGCGGCGCUGCAGGCCGCCUUCCGGUUACUGACCUCCGCCGGAGCCGCUGCUGAACUCCGCGGAAGGAUUCCUCGAGUUCCCGCGGAUCUGUACGUCGUUUGUGCGGAGGUUGCUCUCCAGCUGGGCUGUGUGGACACGAGCACCGAGUGCCUAAAGACCUAUUUCAAUGGGAAUCCACUGCCAAGUCAAUUCCUGAGUCGAGCCUUUCUCUGCCAAGGGCAGCUGCAGCCUCCGCCCGCCGCUGGGAGUGUGGUGAGGACCGUCACUCAGACCCACUCCUCUGAGGUACUGAGAGGGUUUGAUUCCUUCACAAAGACCAAACACCAAGCCAGCAGCCAUGAAAAGAAUGGAACUGAUCCUCUAUCUCCACCAUAACCUCUGUUGAAUCGAUGUCUUUGGUUCAUCAGUCCAUCCAUCCUUUCAUCCAUCCAUCCAUCCAUCCAUCCAUCCAUCCAUCCAUCCAUCCAUCCAUCCAUCCAUCCAUCCAUCCAUCCAUCCAUCCUUUCAUCCAU
rnacentral:lncRNA from 1 species